rnacentral:tRNA from 1 species
GGGCCGGUGUCGGAACUCGGUAGACGAUCAGGACUUAAAAUCCUGUGGGCGCAAUGCCCGUGAGGGUUCAAGCCCCUCCCGGCCUACCA